GACGAACGCUGGCGGCGUGCCUAACACAUGCAAGUCGAGCGGUCUCGCCUAUAGCAAAAGGCCUUCGGGCUUCGAGCAAAGGCGAGAUAGCGGCGGACGGGUGAGUAACGCGUGGCUUAUCUGUCCCAGGGGAGGGGGAUAACGUCUGGAAACGGGCGCUAAUACCCCAUAUGCCGGUGAGGUAAAAAGGAGAAAUCCGCCCGUGGGGUGAGGCCGCGUCCUAUCAGCUAGUUGGUGAGGUAACGGCCCACCAAGGCUAUGACGGGUAGCCGGCCUGAGAGGGCGGCUGGCCACACUGGGAUUGAGAUACGGCCCAGACUCCGUACGGGAGGCAGCAGGUGGGGAAUAGUUGGGCAAGUGGGGGAAACCCUGACCCAGCGACGCCGCGUGGAGGAAGGAGCCCUUCGGGGUGUAAACUCCUGUUGUAAGGGAAGAAGACAGUGACGGUACCUUACGAGGAAGCCCCGGCAAACUACGUG
rnacentral:rRNA from 1 species